CCUACGGGAGGCAGCAGUAGGGAAUAUUGCUCAAUGGGGGAAACCCUGAAGCAGCAACGCCGCGUGGAGGAUGACGGUUUUCGGAUUGUAAACUCCUUUUGUUAGAGAAGAUAAUGACGGUAUCUAACGAAUAAGCACCGGCUAACUCCGUGCCAGCAGCCGCGGGAAUACGGAGGGUGGAAGCGUUACUCGGAAUCACUGGGCGUAAAGAGCGCGUAGGCGGGAUAGCAAGUCAGAUGUGAAAUCCUAUGGCUUAACCAUAGAACUGCAUUUGAAACUGUUAUUCUAGAGUAUGCGAGAGGUAGGUGGAAUUCUUGGUGUAGGGGUAAAAUCCGUAGAGAUCAAGAGGAAUACUCAUUGCGAAGGCGACCUGCUAGAACAUAACUGACGCUGAUGCGCGAAAGCGUGGGGAGCAAACAGGAUUAGAUACCCCUGUAGUC
rnacentral:rRNA from 1 species